AGGUCUACUAUGGAGGCCUUAACUCCUGUGUGGAAAAGGCUGAGGUAGCACAUUUCACCAUAGGAGGAAGAAGAGACACCAGUGAAGGAUACACAGCAGUAAGAGAUAUGGAAAAGAACAAGGAGAGGAUUUCUGUCUCACAUGGUCAUCUGGAUCAUUUGAAAACUUCAAGCAGAAAGUCCCAAGGUCACCAUUAAAUGUUUUCCAAGAUUACACAUCUUCAAACAGAAACCCAAAAUAAUGAAAACCAGGAACCAAGACUUCCAGCUUCUCUAAUGAGAGUAAGUCUUAGUUCU
rnacentral:lncRNA from 1 species